rnacentral:rRNA from 1 species
ACGCGGUGAAUACGUUCCCGGGCCUUGUACACACCGCCCGUCAAGCCAUGGAAGUUGGGGUACCUAAAGUAUGUAACCGCAAGGAGCGUCCUAGGGUAAAACCGAUAACUGGGGCU